rnacentral:rRNA from 1 species
AUUGAACGCUGGCGGCAGGCCUAACACAUGCAAGUCGAGCGGAUGAAGGGAGCUUGCUCCUGGAUUCAGCGUCGGACGGGUGAGUAAUGCCUAGGAAUCUGCCUGGUAUUGGGGUAUAACGUCCUGAGACGGGCGCUAAUACCGCAUACGUCCUGAGGGAGAAAGUGGGGGAUCGUCGGACCUCACGCUAUCAGAUGAGCCUAGGUCGGAUUAGCUAGUUGGUGGGGUAAAGGCCUACCAAGGCGACGAUCCGUAACUGGUCUGAGAGGAUGAUCAGUCACACGAGAACUGGGACACGGUCCAGACGCCUACGGGAGGCAGCAGUGGGGAAUAUUGGACAAUGGGCGAAAGCCUGAUACAGCCAUGCCGCGUGUGUGAAGAAGGUCUUCGGAUUGUAAAGCACUUUAAGUUGGGAGGAAGGGCAGUAAGUUAAUACCUUGCUGUUUUGACGUUACCAACAGAAUAAGCACCGGCUAACUUCGUG